rnacentral:piRNA from 1 species
UNGACAGCAAAAGGGAUUCAUGUACCUCCU